rnacentral:rRNA from 1 species
ACACAGGUAGUCGAGGAGAGAAUCCUAAGGUGAGCGAGAGAACUCUCGUUAAGGAACUCGGCAAAAUGACCCCGUAACUUCGGGAGAAGGGGUGCUGAUCAUACGAUCAGCCGCAGUGAAUAGGCCCAAGCGACUGUUUAUCAAAAACACAGGUCUCUGCAAAAUCGUAAGAUGAAGUAUAGGGGCUGACGCCUGCCCGGUGCUGGAAGGUUAAGAGGAGUGCUUAGCGCAAGCGAAGGUACGAAUUGAAGCCCCAGUAAACGGCGGCCGUAACUAUAACGGUCCUAAGGUAGCGAAAUUCCUUGUCGGGUAAGUUCCGACCCGCACGAAAGGCGUAACGAUUUGGGCACUGUCUCAACGAGAGACUCGGUGAAAUUUUAGUACCUGUGAAGAUGCAGGUUACCCGCGACAGGACGGAAAGACCCCAUGGAGCUUUACUGUAGUUUGAUAUUGAGUGUCUGUACCGCAUGUACAGGAUAGGUAGGAGCCGUAGAAAUCGGAACGCUAGUUUCGAUGGAGGCGCUGGUGGGAUACUACCCCUGCGUUAUG